rnacentral:rRNA from 1 species
CCUACGGGGGGCAGCAGUGGGGAAUAUUGCGCAAUGGGCGAAAGCCUGACGCAGCGACGCCGCGUGAGGGAUGAAGUUCUUCGGAUCGUAAACCUCUAUCAGCAGGGAAGAACGGUCACUGUGCUAAUCAGCAGUGAAUUGACGGUACCUGCAAAGGAAGCACCGGCUAACUCCGUGCCAGCAGCCGCGGGAAUACGGAGGGUGCGAGCGGUAAUCGGAAUUACUGGGCGUAAAGCGCUCGUAGGCGGUAUGUCAAGUCACGGGUGAAAUGCCCGCGCUCAACGUGGGAACUGCCUUUGAAACUGGCAAACUGGAGUGUGUGAGAGGAUAGUGGAAUUCCAGGUGUAGGAGUGAAAUCCGUAGAUAUCUGGAGGAACAUCAGUGGCGAAGGCGACUAUCUGGCACAUAACUGACGCUGAGGAGCGAAAGCGUGGGUAGCAAACAGGAUUAGAUACCCCAGUAGUC